GACGAACGCUGGCGGCGUGCUUAACACAUGCAAGUCGAACGAAGAGCGAUGGAAGCUUGCUUCUCUCAAUCUUAGUGGCGAACGGGUGAGUCACGCGUAAUCAACCUGCCCUUCAGAGGGGGACAACAGUUGGAAACGACUGCUAAUACCGCAUACGAUCUAAUCUCGGCAUCGAGGAUAGAUGAAAGGUGGCCUCUACAUGUAAGCUAUCACUGAAGGAGGGGAUUGCGUCUGAUUAGCUAGUUGGCGGGGUAACGGCCCACCAAGGCGAUGAUCAGUAGCCGGUCUGAGAGGAUGAACGGCCACAUUGGGACUGAGACACGGCCCAGACUCCUACGGGAGGCAGCAGUGGGGAAUCUUCCGCAAUGGACGAAAGUCUGACGGAGCAACGCCGCGGGAGUGAUGACGGCCUUCGGGUUGUAAAGCUCUGUUAAUCGGGACGAAAGGCCUUCUUGCGAAUAGUGAGAAGGAUUGACGGUACCGGAAUAGAAAGCCACGGCUAACUACGUG
rnacentral:rRNA from 1 species